AUAAUGGGUCAGCGACUUAUAUUCUGUAGCAAGGUUAACCGAAUAGGGGAGCCGAAGGGAAACCGAGUCUUAACUGGGCGUUAAGUUGCAGGGUAUAGACCCGAAACCCGGUGAUCUAGCCAUGGGCAGGUUGAAGGUUGGGUAACACUAACUGGAGGACCGAACCGACUAAUGUUGAAAAAUUAGCGGAUGACUUGUGGCUGGGGGUGAAAGGCCAAUCAAACCGGGAGAUAGCUGGUUCUCCCCGAAAGCUAUUUAGGUAGCGCCUCGUGAAUUCAUCUCCGGGGGUAGAGCACUGUUUCGGCAAGGGGGUCAUCCCGACUUACCAACCCGAUGCAAACUGCGAAUACCGGAGAAUGUUAUCACGGGAGACACACGGCGGGUGCUAACGUCCGUCGUGAAGAGGGAAACAACCCAGACCGCCAGCUAAGGUCCCAAAGUCAUGGUUAAGUGGGAAACGAUGUGGGAAGGCCCAGACAGCCAGGAUGUUGGCUUAGAAGCAGCCAUCAUUUAAAGAAAGCGUAAUAGCUCACUGGUCGAGUCGGCCUGCGCG
rnacentral:rRNA from 1 species